AGUGAACGCUGGCGGUAGGCCUAACACAUGCAAGUCGAACGGCAGCACAGUAAGAGCUUGCUCUUACGGGUGGCGAGUGGCGGACGGGUGAGGAAUACAUCGGAAUCUACUUUUUCGUGGGGGAUAACGUAGGGAAACUUAGCUUACUCCCGAAUAGUCCCAACGGGGUAAGUCAGGGGUUCUUGGGCCUCUGGCCGAUUCUUGAAGCCGAAGUCGGAUUAGCUAGUUGGCGGGGUAAAGGCCCACCAAGGCGACGAUCCGUAGCUGGUCUGAGAGGAUGAUCAGCCACACUGGAACUGAGACACGGUCCAGACUCCUACGGGAGGUAGCAGUGGGGAAUAUUGGACAAUGGGCGCAAGCCUGAUCCAGCCAUACCGCGUGGGUGAAGAAGGCCUUCGGGUUGUAAAGCCCUUUUGUUGGGAAAGAAAAGCAGCAGGUUAAUACCCCGCUGUUCUGACGGUACCCAAAGAAUAAGCACCGGCUAACUUCGUG
rnacentral:rRNA from 1 species